rnacentral:rRNA from 1 species
GAUGAACGCUGGCGGCGUGCCUAAUACAUGCCAGUCGAGCGAACGGACGAGAAGCUUGCUGCUCUGAUGUUAGCGGCGGACGGGUGAGUAACACGUGGAUAACCUACCUAUAAGACUGGGAUAACUUCGGGAAACCGGAGCUAAUACCGGAUAAUAUUUUGAACCGCAUGGUUCAAAAGUGAAAGACGGUCUUGCUGUCACGUAUAGAUGGAUCCGCGCCGCAUUAGCUAGUUGGUAAGGUAACGGCUUACCAAGGCAACGAUGCAUAGCCGACCUGAGAGGGUGAUCGCCCACACUGGAACUGAGACACGGUCCAGACUCCUACGGGAGGCAGCAGUAGGGAAUCUUCCGCAAUGGGCGAAAGCAUGACGGAGCAACGCCGAGUGAGUGAUGAAGGUCUUCGGAUCGUAAAACUCUGUUAUUAGGGAAGAACAUAUGUGUAAGUAACUGUGCACAUCUUGACGGUACCUAAUCAGAAAGCCACGGCUAACUACGUG